CUGACACAUCCAUCCAACUAUAUCUCAUUCACUUUCUACUCCCUCCCUCUCCCCCCUCUCUCUUUCUCUUCCAUACCUCCUCUUUCUUUGUCUAUCCCUUUUCUUGCUUUCUCUUUCUCUCUCCCUUUUUCUUGCUUUCCCUUUUCUUGCUUUUCUUUCUUGCUUUUCCCCUUCCCUUCCUCCUUCCCUCUCUCCUUCUAAAGCUACUGAAACAAAAACUGCUUUGGAUGAAACCGGCCAUUACACACACUUACACACACACUCACUUCCAACCAGCUCUAGUGCCUCGCCUCGCCAUUUGCUUUUAGAGGCGGGCCGGUCGCCUAAGUAGUUUCCACGGGCCCGGCAGCGUUGCUUGCCUCCCAGGAAACCCCAACUGAUUGACUGACUGGGGCGCACGCACCAUGCUGGCGGCGCACUUGGAUCGGUGCCUCUUCCACAUUAAAGAGAAUUCUAUGCAUUACAACAAUUCAAAGAAAACAGAAACAUGUGUCCCAAACUAUCCUGUGGGAUAAUACAUAAUUCAUGUGAAUGAUAGAGGUUUCCCUUUCCUUCAAGAGGUCGGCAUAUCAAGAUUAAACCACUUUGCUUCUUUCAAACCCUUGCUUAUAAACUGGAGUGGAGGGAAGGUUGGAAUGGAAUGCUGAGAAGUUAUGCACAGAUUUUGAGAAUCUGGAAACCAUCAAGGUCACCACUGCAAGUGCUUAAGAAGGAGGUGGACUGGGGGCGUGGCUAGAGUCACAGCGAGAUGACAUGUCUCUUGGAAGCUCCAAGGGGCAGCGUUGAAUCCACAUUGUCAGAACGAUCCACUGAGGGGUGAUUGAGAAAGAGAGCACACUCUGGAGGUCAUGGGCAGUCUGCAAACUCCCUAUUUGAAAGCUCUCAAAGCCAACGGAGUGGAAGAGACAGCCAUCAUGGGCGGGACAGAAGCUGGGGCAGCCACAGGAAGAAAGCUUUGAAGAGAGAAACUGGAUGAGAGUUUUCCAAUUUCGUUUUUUCUUUGCUAGAAGUGGGAUGAAAGUUCCCUGGAAAAACAGCUGGUGUAAAGAGGGCUCUAAAAGGAGGUGGAUUUGGUUUUCUCCCCCACCUCCCCUGAAAAGCGGCAAGGAGAGCUUUUGCCAUUUUGGAACAGGAAGUUAAAACUUUUAGAAAAAGAGUGAAAAUAUUCUGGACUUAAAAGCUGGACUAGGAGCCUCAAAUAUAUUAUUGGACUGUAGAGAACUUUGGACCAAAACAAUAUUUGGAUAAAUAGAGCUGCCCUUUUUGUAUUUUUGUAUUAUAUUAUUAUUUUCUUUUUCUUUCUUUUUUUUCUUUCUUCCCUUUAAAGUCCAAACUGGAAAGAGAGAAAAGAUAGGAGAAAGAGAGAGAGAAGCAGAAGUUGGAAGUGGAAGCUGGGAAUAGCAGAUUUAGCCUUGAGAAUUCUGUAAACAAGAUAUGAAUGGACUGCUAGAAUAUCUUUGUUGACUUAAGUUAGUUAGAUUGAAAACUGAAAAUUGAGGUGGAGAGCAUAAGACUGAGACUUUUUAAAGUCUUAUUUUUAAAUAGCUCAGCUCUUGAAACUCAAAUAUAAGAAAGGCUUCUAUGUGGCUUUCCCCCCCAAUUCCUAUUCUUUUUUUUCUGGCUCUGUGAACUUUGUGAACUCUCCCUUGAAGAUUAUAAAACAACUGGGAUUGGUGGGCCUAUGUGGAUUACAAUUUAUUGAUAUAUCACCCCUUUUUUGGUGGAAUAUUAAAGGAUUAAGGUCAGAAGAACCUGAAGAAAAUAAUAAUAACAAGAAGAUAGAGGGUAAAAGAUUGAAAACUUUCGGGGGUUUCACCUCCUCUUUUUUGGAUUUUUAGAUUAAAACUUAUUUUUGAUCUCUUUUCUGGUUUUUUGGCUUUUUUUCAUUGCUGCUUCUAUUUUUUUUUUCCUUUUUCAUCCUUGGAUUAAAGUUGAUUAUUACUUUUUCCUUUUCUUGUGGAUUACAAAUAUUAAAAAGAUUUAAGAUGAGGAAAUAUCAGCACCAACGUCAGCGUCUUCUUCAGCUGCUUCGAGUCCCUCUAGGCAGAGGACAUUAGAUGCUUUAGUACAACCAGAAAAAAUGACCGCCAUGCAGGCUAUGCAUGCAGAUCUGAAAGCAAUGAUGCAAGCAUUGCAUGAGGAAUUUAAAGUGGUAAAAGAGAAAAUAGGGAAAGUAGAGGAUAAAUUAGAAGACAAACUGUAUGGGACACAGCCAAAGCAGCCAAGGCUUAUAUUAGAGGUUUAGCUAUAACGUACAGUGCAAAAACUAAACAGAAAGAAGAAACAAAACCAGAGGACAUUAGAAGAAUAAUAUAAGAGAUUAGAGAUAGAACUACAAAAAGAUCCACAAAAAAAGGAUAUAAAGAAUCAAAUGGACUUAACGAAACAUAAACUGAGCUUGAUAGAUAAAGAAGAUUUAGCAAGGAAAAUUAAAAGUGUUAAAGAAAACUUUUUUGAAAAUGCGAAUAAACCAGGAAGAUGGCUGGCAUAUAAACUGAAAAAAGAGAAAGAAAAGAAAUUGAUAGAUAAGUUAAUGGACAAUGAUGGGAAAAUUUACUACCAAAAUGAGGAUAAGAAGAAAGCAAUCCAAAGUUACUAUAAGAAUUUAUACGAUUAGGAAUCAAUAUCACAAGAGAAAAUAAAACAAUAUUUAGAAAAAGCAGAGCUAGCUAAAAUACCUGAAUCAGUCAAAGCAAUGUUAGAUGUACGUAUAUCAAUGAUGGAGUUAACAGAAGCAAUUAAGAGACAAAAGUAUGGAACACCAGGACCAGAUGGUCUACCAGCAAAAUUGUAUAAAGAGCUGCAAGAAACUUUGGGUAAUCCAAUGUUGGAAAUAUUUAAUGAACUUUUGCUAGAGGCAAAUGUACUGAAUUCAUGGAUGGAAGCAUAUAUUACCCUUAUACUGAAAGUAGAUGCAGAUCUACAACAAAUAAAAAAUUACAGACCAAUAUCCCUGUUGAAUACAGAUUAUAAAAUAUUUGCUUCAAUAAUGGCAGAAAGACUAAAACAAUUUUUAAACCAAUUUGUACAUCCAGAUCAAAAUGUUUUUUUUUACCUAAGAGACAAUUUUUUUUACCUAAGAGACCUAAGAGACAAAUUAAAGAUAACAUGAGAAUAAUCUUGAAUACUUGAGUAUUAUGAAGCACAUCCAGAGAAACAAAUGGUGCUGAUUUUUUAGAUGCACAGAAAGCAUUUGACAAUGUGAACUGGCAAUUUAUGUUAAUUCAGUUUUAAAAGAUGCACUUUGGGGAGGGAUUUGUCAAUAUGAUCAAGGCAAUAUACCGGGCCUGGUGGCUCAGCAGACUGAUAGCAUUGUGAUUAACACCAGCUGUCUGCAAUUAAAGUAAGUUCGAAUCUCGCCAGGCUCAAGGUUGACUCAGCCUUCCAUCCUUUCUAAGGUAGGUAAAUUGAGGACCCAGUUUGUGGGGGCAAUAAGCUGACUUUGUAUAAAUAUAUAAAAGUAUAAAGGCUAUUGCUUAACGCAUUGUAAGCCACCCUGAGUCUCUGGAGAAGGGCGGCAUAUAAAUCAAAUUAAAAAUAAAAAUAAGCAAACAGCAAAAAUAAUGGUAAAUGAAGACAUGACUGAGAAAGUUAGCAUUAAGAAAGGUACAAGACAAGAAUGUCCCCUGUCCCCAUUAUUGUUUAUACUGACACUGGAAGUACUAAACAGGAACAUUAGACAAGAUACAGAGAUAAAAGGUAUGGAGAUUAAAAGGGAACAGUACAAGUUACAGGCGUUUGCAGAUGACCUAGCUUUUAUUGUGGAAGAUCCACUAGUAAUAGGGCCUAAAUCAAUUAAAAAAAAUAGAAGAAUAUGGAGAAGUGGCAGUUCUGAAAAUAAAUAAAGAGAAAACUAAGAUUUUAGUUAAAAACAUUGCAGACAAGCAAAAAAUAGAGUUAACAAAGAGAAUAGAUAUUCAGAUUGGAAAGAAAGUUAAGUACCUAGGGAUUCAGUUGACAGCAAGAUGUGUAACAAUUAAAGAAGAUAAUUAUUAUAAGUGGCUGAAACAAAUUCAAAUAGACCUGGAAAAGUGGAAGAAUCUAAAAUUGUCAUUGGUAGGGAGAAUAGCAACAAUUAAAAUGAACAUACUACCAAGUACUUAUUUCAAACAAUUCCAAUAAAACUGGGGAAAAAAUAUUUGAGGAACUUAAUAAAAUAAUACACAAAUAUAUUUGGCAAGGGAAAAAAGCAAGAAUUGACCUGAAAAUGAUGCAAGAUAUAAGAAGAAGAGGUGGUUUUGGACUACCAAACUGGGAGCUAUAUUACCAGACUGUGGUAUUAACAUGGAUGAAAGAGUGGAUUGUAUUGAGAAACACAAGAUUAUUGACUCUGGAAGGACAUGAUUUACAACUGGGGUGGCAUGCUUUUCUGUGGUAUGGGAAAAAUAAGAUACCUGGAUAUUUUCAGAGACAUUCUAUAAGAAUUGCAUUAAUGAUAGUAUGGGAGAAAACUAAAGAACAACAUUAUUUGAGGAUACCGUUCUGGCUUUCAACAAUGAAAGCAUUCAUCCACCCAAAUGUUAUUAAUAUGGGAAAUAUUGUUAGGUACAAAGACAUUUUGAAUGAAAAGGGGGAAUUGAAAAUGAAAGAGGAAAUGAGUGAGCAAGGAAUCAAUUUAUCAUAGUAUGCACAAGUGCAGAUACAUUCUCGAUAUGAGAAAGAUGUAAAAUCACAGGAUUUUUAUGAAGAAUCAACAGAAUUAAAUAAAAUUUUAACAGGAACAGAUGAAAGAUUAAUAAAGAAACUGUAUAAUUA